rnacentral:rRNA from 1 species
CCUACGGGAGGCAGCAGUGGGGGAUAUUGCACAAUGGGGGGAACCCUGAUGCAGCGACGCCGCGUGGGUGAAGAAGCGCCUCGGCGCGUAAAGUCCUGUCAGCAGGGAAGAAAAUGACGGUACCUGAAGAAGAAGCACCGGCUAACUACGUGCCAGCAGCCGCGGUAAUACGUAGGGGGCAAGCGCUAGCCGGAUUUACUGGGUGGAAAGGGGGCGCAGACGGCGAUGCAAGCCAGGAGUGAAAGCCCGGGGCCCAACCCCGGGACUGCUCUUGGAACUGCGUGGCUGGAGUGCAGGAGGGGCAGGCGGAAUUCCUGGUGUAGCGGUGAAAUGCGUAGAUAUCAGGAGGAACACCGGUGGCGAAGGCGGCCUGCUGGACUGCAACUGACGUUGAGGCCCGAAAGCGUGGGGAGCAAACAGGAUUAGAUACCCGGGUAGUC